GAUGAACGCUGGCGGCGUGCCUAAUACACGCAAGUCGAGCGAACAGACGAGGAGCUUGCUCCUCUGACGUUAGCGGCGGACGGGUGAGUAACACGUGGAUAACCUACCUAUAAGACUGGGAUAACUUCGGGAAACCGGAGCUAAUACCGGAUAAUAUAUUGAACCGCAUGGUUCAAUAGUGAAAGACGGUUUUGCUGUCACUUAUAGAUGGAUCCGCGCCGCAUUAGCUAGUUGGUAAGGUAACGGCUUACCAAGGCAACGAGGCGUAGCCGACCCGAGAGGGUGCACGGCCACACGGGAACUGAGACACGGUCCAGACUCCUACGGGAGGCAACAGUAGGGAAUCUUCCGCAAUGGGCGAAAGCCUGACAGAGCAACGCCGCGUGAGUGAUGAAGGUCUUCGGAUCGUAAAGCUCUGUUAUUAGGGAAGAACAAAUGUGUAAGUAACUAUGCACGUCUUGACGGUACCUAAUCAGAAAGCCACGGCUAACUACGUG
rnacentral:rRNA from 1 species